GGCCUGGUGGUGGAAUGGUUGACACGUCUGCUACUUGUGUUGAAAUGGAAAAAAAGGGUUUCGGCAGAAGAUUCCUUGUUCGAAUCAAGGCCAGGCCG